GGUAAACGCUAGCGGUGUGCCUUAUGCAUGCAAGUCGAACGGUUCCGAUUUAUCGGAACAGUGGCGAACGGGUGAGUAACACGUAAGUAACUUGCCCCUAAGUAGGGGAUAACUCCGAGAAAUUGGAGCUAAUACCGUAGUGGUGGUGGAGAUAAUGAUUCACCACUAAAGCCUUAGGGUGCUUGGGGAGAGGCUUGCGUCCGAUUAGCUAGUUGGUAGGGUAAUGGUCUACCAAGGCGAUGAUCGGUAGCUGGUUUGAGAGGACGUCCAGCCACAUUGGGACUGAGACACGGCCCAGACUCCUACGGGAGGCAGCAGCAAGGAAUAUUGUGCAAUGGGCGAAAGCCUGACACAGCGACACCGCGUGGGGGAUGAAGGCCUUCGGGUUGUAAACCCCUUUUCUCAGGGAAGAAUAAUGACGGUACCUGAGGAAUAAGUCUUGGCUAACUACGUGCCAGCAGCCGCGGUAAUGCGUAGGAGGCGAGCGUUAUCCGGAUUUACUGGGCGUAGAGAGGGCGCAGGCGGUUUUUCAAGUCGAAUGUAAAAUCUCCCGGCUUAACUGGGAGGGACCAUUCGAUACUGCUGGGCUAGAGGGCAGCAGAAGGAGGCGGAAUUCCCGGUGUAGUGGUGAAAUGCGUAGAUAUCGGGAGGAACACCAGUGGCGAAGGCGGCCUCCUAGGCUGUUUCUGACGCUGAGGCCCAAAAGCGUGGGAAGCGAACAGGAUUAGAUACCCUGGUAGUCCACGCCGUAAACUAUGGACACUAGGUAUAGGGAGUAUCGACCCUCUCUGUGCCGAAGUUAACACGUUAAGUGUCCCGCCUGGGGAGACGGCCGCAAGGCU
rnacentral:rRNA from 1 species